rnacentral:rRNA from 1 species
GACGAACGCUGGCGGCGUGCUUAACACAUGCAAGUCGAACGGAAAGGCCCUUCGGGGUACUCGAGUGGCGAACGGGUGAGUAACACGUGGGUGAUCUGCCCUGCACUUUGGGAUAAGCAUGGGAAACUGGGUCUAAUACCGAAUAGGACCACGCGCUUCAUGGUGUGUGGUGGAAAGCUUUUGCGGUGUGGGAUGGGCCCGCGGCCUAUCAGCUUGUUGGUGGGGUAAUGGCCUACCAAGGCGACGACGGGUAGCCGGCCUGAGAGGGUGACCGGCCACACUGGGACUGAGAUACGGCCCAGACUCCUACGGGAGGCAGCAGUGGGGAAUAUUGCACAAUGGGCGCAAGCCUGAUGCAGCGACGCCGCGUGAGGGAUGACGGCCUUCGGGUUGUAAACAUCUUUCAAUAGGGACGAAGCGCAAGUGACGGUACCUAUAGAAGAAGCACCGGCCAACUACGUG